rnacentral:rRNA from 1 species
UACGGAGGAUCCGAGCGUUAUCCGGAUUUAUUGGGUUUAAAGGGUGCGUAGGCGGUUUGAUAAGCUAGAGGUGAAAUGUCGGGGCUCAACCCCGAAACUGCCUCUAAUACUGUUGGACUAGAGAAUAGUUGCGGUAGGCGGAAUGUAUGGUGUAGCGGUGAAAUGCUUAGAGAUCAUACAGAACACCGAUUGCGAAGGCAGCUUACCAAACUAUAUCUGACGUUGAGGCACGAAAGCGUGGGUAGCAAACAGG